rnacentral:rRNA from 1 species
GUACACCGCCCGUCGCUACUACCGAUUGAAUGUUUUAGUGAGAUCUUCGGCUUGGUUUUCCGAGCGGCUUUCGGGUCGUUCGGUUUAUAUCGAAAAGAUGCUUAAACUGGAUCAUUUAGAGGAAGUAAAAGUCGUAACAAGGUAUUCGUAGGUGAACCUGCAGAAGGAUCA